UUAAGUGGGAAACGAAGUGGGAAGGCUCAGACAGCCAGGAUGUUGGCUUAGAAGCAGCCAUCAUUUAAAGAAAGCGUAAUAGCUCACUGGUCGAGUCGGCCUGCGCGGAAGAUGUAACGGGGCUAAACCAUGCACCGAAGCUGCGGCAGCGACAUUUAGAUGUUGUUGGGUAGGGGAGCGUUCUGUAAGCCUGUGAAGGUGUGCUGCGAGGCAUGCUGGAGGUAUCAGAAGUGCGAAUGCUGACAUAAGUAACGAUAAUGCGGGUGAAAAACCCGCACGCCGGAAGACCAAGGGUUCCUGUCCAACGUUAAUCGGGGCAGGGUGAGUCGACCCCUAAGGC
rnacentral:rRNA from 1 species